rnacentral:rRNA from 1 species
AUUGAACGCUGGCGGCAGGCCUAACACAUGCAAGUCGAACGGUAACAGGAAGCAGCUUGCUGCUUUGCUGACGAGUGGCGGACGGGUGAGUAAUGUCUGGGAAACUGCCUGAUGGAGGGGGAUAACUACUGGAAACGGUAGCUAAUACCGCAUAACGUCGCAAGACCAAAGAGGGGGACCUUCGGGCCUCUUGCCAUCGGAUGUGCCCAGAUGGGAUUAGCUAGUAGGUGGGGUAACGGCUCACCUAGGCGACGAUCCCUAGCUGGUCUGAGAGGAUGACCAGCCACACUGGAACUGAGACACGGUCCAGACUCCUACGGGAGGCAGCAGUGGGGAAUAUUGCACAAUGGGCGCAAGCCUGAUGCAGCCAUGCCGCGUGUAUGAAGAAGGCCUUUCGGGUUGUAAAGUACUUUGCAGCGGGGAGGAAGGCGAUAAGGUUAAUAACCUUGUCGAUUGACGUUACCCGCAGAAGA